CCUACGGGAGGCAGCAGUGGGGGAUAUUGCACAAUGGGGGAAACCCUGAUGCAGCGACGCCGCGUGAGUGAAGAAGGAUUUCGGGAUGUAAAGCUCUAUCAGCAGGGAAGAAAAUGACAGUACCUGACCAAGAAGCCACGGCUAACUCCGAGCCAGCAGCGGCGGUAAUACGGAGGGAGCAAGCGUUAUCCGGAUUUACUGGGUGUAAAGGGGGCGUAGAGGGUUAUGUAGGACCGGAGUGAAAGCACGGGGCCCAACCCCGGGACUGCAUUGGAAACUGUAUAGCUUGAGUACAGUAGGGGCAGGCGGAAUUCCUGGUGUAGCGGUGAAAUGCGUAGAUAUCAGGAGGAACACCGACGGCGAAGGCGGCCUGCUGGACUGACACUGACGUUGAGGCUCGAAAGCGUGGGGAUCAAACAGGAUUAGAUACCCCUGUAGUC
rnacentral:rRNA from 1 species